GACGAACGCUGGCGGCGUGCCUAAUACAUGCAAGUAGAACGCUGAAGAGAGGAGCUUACUCUUCUUGGAUGAGUUGCGAACGGGUGAGUAACGCGUAGGUAACCUGCCUUGUAGCGGGGGAUAACUAUUGGAAACGAUAGCUAAUACCGCAUAACAAUGGAUGACACAUGUCAUUUAUUUGAAAGGGGCAAUUGCUCCACUACAAGAUGGACCUGCGUUGUAUUAGCUAGUAGGUGAGGUAAUGGCUCACCUAGGCGACGAUACAUAGCCGACCUGAGAGGGUGAUCGGCCACACUGGGACUGAGACACGGCCCAGACUCCUACGGGAGGCAGCAGUAGGGAAUCUUCGGCAAUGGGGGCAACCCUGACCGAGCAACGCCGCGUGAGUGAAGAAGGGUUUCGGAUCGUAAAGCUCGGUUGUAAGUCAAGAACGGGUGUGAGAGUGGAAAGUUCACACUGUGACGGUAGCUUACCAGAAAGGGACGGCUAACUACGUG
rnacentral:rRNA from 1 species